AGCAGUAGGGAAUCUUCCACAAUGGACGCAAGUCUGAUGGAGCAACGCCGCGUGAGUGAAGAAGGGUUUCGGCUCGUAAAGCUCUGUUGGUAGUGAAGAAAGAUAGAGGUAGUAACUGGCCUUUAUUUGACGGUAAUUACCUAGGAAGUCACGGCUAACUACGUGCCAGCAGCCGCGGUAAUACGUAGGUGGCAAGCGUUGUCCGGAUUUAUUGGGCGUAAAGCGAGUGCAGGCGGUUCAAUAAGUCUGAUGUGAAAGCCUUCGGCUCAACCGGAGAAUUGCAUCAGAAACUGUUGAACUUGAGUGCAGAAGAGGAGAGUGGAACUCCAUGUGUAGCGGUGGAAUGCGUAGAUAUAUGGAAGAACACCAGUGGCGAAGGCGGCUCUCUGGUCUGCAACUGACGCUGAGGCUCGAAAGCAUGGGUAGCGAACAGGAUUAGAUACCCUGGUAGUCCAUGCCGUAAACGAUGAGUGCUAAGUGUUGGGAGGUUUCCGCCUCUCAGUGCUGCAGCUAACGCAUUAAGCACUCCGCCUGGGGAGUACGACCGCAAGGUUGUAACUCAAAGGAAUUGACGGGGGCCCGCAUAAGCGGUGGAGCAUGUGGUUUAAUUCGAAGCAACGCGAAGAACCUUACCAGGUCUUGACAUCUAGUGCCAUCCUAAGAGAUUAGGAGUUCCCUUCGGGGACACUAAGACAGGUGGUGCAUGGCUGUCGUCAGCUCGUGUCGUGAGAUGUUGGGUUAAGUCCCGCAACGAGCGCAACCCUUGUUAUUAGUUGCCAGCAUUAAGUUGGGCACUCUAAUGAGACUGCCGGUGACAAACCGGAGGAAGGUGGGGAUGACGUCAAGUCAUCAUGCCCCUUAUGACCUGGGCUACACACGUGCUACAAUGGGCAGUACAACGAGAAGCGAGCCUGCGAAGGCAAGCGGAUCUCUUAAAGCUGUUCUCAGUUCGGACUGCAGUCUGCAACUCGACUGCACGAAGCUGGAAUCGCUAGUAAUCGCGGAUCAGCACGCCGCGGUGAAUACGUUCCCGGGCCUUGUACACACCGCCCGUC
rnacentral:rRNA from 1 species